UUUAAAAGUUUCCUGAAGUUGAUAUUUCUGUGGUGUUGUUGUCUCUUAGUAAAGUUCAUUGCCUCUUCCUUUUGAUUAUAUGACGCUAAGCGCAGACAGCUGAUUGGUUAAGAGUAGGCGCACCCAGUGUUGACGAUUGUGGUAAUUUUGAGCAUGCGCAACUACCGUCCAUACUCACGUACCAACUUUGAUUUCUUCGCGUGAAUAGGGGGCGUACCCAUGAUUUAUGAUAGCUUUAACCAAUGCGGGCGUUCCUUUCUCCUGAUGUGUUUGCAUUGCAAUAACUGACUGUCAAUCAUUUCAAGCACAUCAACUUCUGUUGAGGAGCUUUAUAUUUCAGGCGAGUCCCACACAAACCCCAGUUUCUCCGGAACUCCGAAGCUAUCCAGACUGCGGACCGUUAUCCCAGACUCGACAGCAGACAACCUCAGCAUCACCCUGGUCGAUAUCAUCCUUAUUUCAGUUUGCCAGAAGUCGAGGGAGGUAACAUGGCUGACACCACGGACAACCCACUUCCAACUGCCGACGGCGCCAGCUUCACGAAGGUCGAGGGAGGUAACAUGGCUGACACGACGGACAACCCACGUCCAACUGCCGACGGCGCCAGCUUCACGAAGGAUGGACCGGAUUGUGAGAAGCUCAUGGACAUCCCAAAGGGAAAAGCUGAGAUGCAAAUCCUCAACGAAGUUCUGGAAAAGCUGAUUAAAGGAAUGACAGAAUCAAGGGAAGGAGAAAAAAUCACAAUAACGGUUCAUGACUUCAAACAAAUCCAGAUGAAGUUGAAGUCAGGUAAGAAAGUUUCUGUGCUGGAAGCAAUAAAAGCAUUGGACUUCGAGGGGCGACUUAGCUUCGAAGAGGAAGUCAAACAGGAAGUUGACCAGGCAGUUGAAAGGAUACAGAACAUUCAAAAGGAACUAGGUGGCAUUCAGGAAAGGCUAACUUCUAUUCAGACGAAAGUGGGAACUAUCUCCGGCGUGAAGCAGGAAGCCAAACGACUGAUGGAAUCACUCGAGGAAUCUGAUUUGACAUAUGAGGCAACUGAGGGAAAGGACAUCCAGAUCAUACGGGAGAGUUGUUUGAAAUGUAUUCCGGACUUACUCGCCUUCAUGAAGGAAGUUCGAUUGAAACAAUUGGAAGUUCAGAAGUUAAUGAGGGCGCAAUGGACACAACAUGUGAGGCAAAUCAUGGAGAUGCACGAGAAGACAAUCGUGGAAACAACCGGUCUGUUUAUGAUGGAGGAAAUUCAGCAAUACAACAAGUUGUUGGUCGGAUUUGCGAACGAAAUUCCGAGUCACCCGAUCAGGAAGGAAACAACUUCAUCAACAUCAACAUCAUCGACAAUUGCAACUUCAUCAGCGACAAGUUCAUCAACAACUUCAUCAAAAACUUCUGUUGAAGUUUCCAUUGGUAUAAGAAUUCACUUUUUAAAUUCAUGGUGGCAGUUACUGUUACAGCAUAUUCUUACUUUGGCAACAUUUCGUUUUGAAGGUUAAAAGCACAAGGUUUCAUAACAAUAAACCAAAUUGAAUGAAUCUGUAUGUACUUCCAGCAGUGAUCGAAUAAUUGGCUGUCUGCAAUUCGUGUGAUUUAACCAUCUAAAUAAUCUGUUGUUUACAUGGCACAUUGAUUUCAGAAGCAGAAGAAGCCACCUGAUUCAGCAUCUACCGUAAAGUGAACACCUCCAGAAUUCAUGAUCUACUUGCUGGACGGCAUAUCUUCACAUCACUGUUAACCAGUUUCUUACGAGGAAGUAAACAGAGGUUCCAUCCAUUUGGUACCAUAACAGAAGCAUUAUGUUUAUCAACUAUAUGUUCUGUCACCAGUUUGAAUACAUGUAUCUAAUUCUAUGUGAUUUUCAUAUUACAUAUACAUACAUAAUACAUGUAUAUGUAGUAUGUGUUAAGUUGCAUGGAAAGGUGAAAGAUUUAUAAGGAUAUCCUUGAGAGUGUGUUCAGGUAACUCUCCUGCCUUUGUACUAAAGAACUCUUACGAAGGCUGAUCAGACUGAAGUCAUGCGGUUACAACAUAAUCCUUUGGACCUCUUUUUCACUGACAAUUCCCCUUACCUUUCCUUUAUCAUAUUGUUUAAUGCGUCUUCAAAUUUCACUUUCAUACAUGCACAUGUAACCCCUGACUUCAGUCACAGUGUUGUUGUUUUUCUCAUUUUGCCAUUACUUAUUUAGAUACAGGCACACAAUGUCCAUCUAGAGACAGAUAACAAGUUGGCAACAUCCAGAGUGAGAAUAGUCCUGAAUUUUGGGAAGAUAGUAAUUCUACAGGGAUGUGAAUCUUGUCAUAUGGGUAGACGCUGUGCCAACAUAUCUUACUGCUUUUUUAUUACCAUUUAUUUAGAUACAAGCACACAUUCAAUGUCCUUCUGAUGACAGCUAUCAUACCAAGUUUACUUGGUGAAAAGUGAGAAACAUUCAGAUUGUGAGUUUUCCUGAACUUCAGAAGUGCAACAGGUCUCAUAAGAAAUUAAAUUGAUUCGGUAGAUGCUGUGCUGAUAGAGUUUGCAUAGUUUUAUUGCUUUUUAUUACCGCUUAUAUAGACACAGGCACACAAUGUCCUCUUGAUAUCGCAUACGUCAUACCAAGUUUACCUGGUGAAAAGUGAGAAACAAUCAGAUUGUGAAUUUUCAUGUAAUCAUCUAACACCACAAGUCCAAAGGAAUGAUGACUUUGUUAUAGAAGUAGACGCUGUGCUAAUAGAUCUUGAAUAAUUUAUCGCUUUUUUAUUACCAUUUAUUUAGAUACAAGCACAAAAUGUCCUUCUGAUGACAGAUAUCAUACCAAGUUUACUUGGUGAAAAGUGAGAAACAUUCAGAUUGUGAGUUUUGCUGAAAUUUUGAUUCUGUCAUAGAAGUAGACGUUGUGCUGAUAGAGUAUGCAUAGUUUUAUUGUUUUUAUUACUUAGAUACAGGCACACAAUGUCCUUCUGAUAGCAUAUGUCAUACCAAGUUUACCUGGUGAAAAAUGAGAAACCAUCAGCUUGUGAAUGUUUAUAAAAUUAUGUAACACCACAAGUCCAAAGGAAUGGUGGCUUUGUUAUAGAAGUAGACGCUGUGCUUAUAGAUACUUUAUUGCUUUUUUUGUAAUCAUUUAUUGGUAAGCAGGUACGUACACAAUGUCCUUCUGAUGACAAAUCAUACUAAGUUUACUUGGUGAAAAGUGAGAAAUAUUCAGAUUGUGAGUUUUCCUGAACGUUUGAAGGCGUUAAGCCUUAGGAAAUUGUGGUUCUGUCAUAGAAGUAGACGCUGUGCCAAUAGUUUUUGUUUUUCAUUGCCAAUGUUUUAGAUACAAGCACCUCAUGUUGAGACCGAUGUUACAUCCAUAUAACAACGCAGACUGUUAGUCAACUACAGCAGUCUAAAAACAUGUGUAAAACUAUCUACACAUAGAGGUGCUGUAUCUAUAUCAUUGAGACAUUUUUUCAAGUAUACAUUGUCCAUAGGAAACGAUAAGUAAAAGUUAGACCCCAGUCUACACUGUUGAAAGUCUAACACUGCAAAAGAAAGAACCGCUUUGUUCCAUCUAAAGCCAAAGGAAAGCAUAUACUCUGGUCUCAGAGUUAACACUUAUAUGGAAGACUCGUGAAACUUGUGUGAAUGUAGUUUUUAAGAUAAAAAAACUGCAUUGCUUUUCUUUGUCACAGGUAUAACUUUCAUCUGUACAUCAAUGACGUAAGCAGAUUUUAAUGUCAUGUUAUCCUAAGUUGAAUGUUUAAUGGGUAUGUAGAACAACUUGUGACAUGUUAAGAACUUGAGACCCAAAAUGUAACGAAGCAAGACAAAGUGUUACCAUCAUCUUAUGAUCUGUUAUAGGUUUCAUCAAGAUAUGAACUGACAGGGGGAAGCCCAUUGUAGCUUAAGAUUUAUCAUGGCAAGGAAAACAGCUGCAAAUAGUGCAUUGUGUUACAUCUAGUUUGUUACAGUCCCCAGAAAACAUUGAAAGCUAUUGUUAAUAUCAAGUCUUUUAACACCCGUACAGUUACCAACUCUACUGUAUCUGCUGUCUGACAUUGAGACUGGCGAUGUUAAGGAAGUUUGAGAUUUGUUUAGUUGUGGCUUUUUUAUUCCUUAAAAUAAAGCGUAACUGCUUGCAUUGCA